GAAAUGCGAUAAGUAAUGUGAAUUGCAGAUUUCAGUGAAUCAUCGAAUCUUUGAACGCACCUUGCACUCCUUGGUAUUCCGAGGAGUACGCCUGUUUGAGUGUCAUUAAAUUCUCAAAUCUUUAAUUGUUGUAAUGACGAUUGAAGACUUUGGAUGUGGGAGUCUUUUGCUGGCUUUUAUUAGUUCAGCUCUCCUUAAAUGCAUUAGUGGUUACUGUUCUUCCACUUUGGUGUGAUAAUUAUCUACGCCUACAAGUGAAGAUGUUAAGUGUAGCUGCCUUCAAACCGUCCAAGUUUUAUUGGACAACUUUGAACUGUUUGACCUCAAAUCAGGUGGGAUUACCCGCUGAACUUAAGCAUAUCAAUAAGCGGAGGAAAAGAACUAACAAGGAUUCCCCUAGU
rnacentral:rRNA from 1 species